rnacentral:lncRNA from 1 species
AAAACAUUUUUUUUAAUCAUAUGGACAAUUGAAAGUAUUUCUUCAAAAGAGUUAUGGCGCUUAACUUUUCUCUUUGAUUUCUAUGCACCUAUGAAAGUCUUGUAAUGUUAACUUCACUAUAUUGCCAGUUUAAUCAAGGUGUUCUUGUUUAUAAGAAUUUCUUUGGUUGUGCAAUAAUAUCUGUUUCAGGUUACUUUUAAUGGCUCAUUCGACCACAUGAAUAUUGAUGCUACUAGGUAUUAUUCUAAUUGUCAACUUUAUCAUCUUUCUUUUGGUCAUACUCGAUGUAUGGAAAUGCUACCGUAUUUAUUAGGUUGGAAGGGUAUAAUUUUUAUUUAUUUUUAAGUAUUGUGUUUCUGCUUUCUCUUUUUAUUGUCGUAUUCGUAAAAGGGGGAGGCAAUAAUAUCUGUUUCAGGUUACUUUUAAUGGCUCAUUCGACCACAUGAAUAUUGAUGCUACUAG